UCCGUAGGUGAACCUGCGGAGGGAUCAUUACACAAAUAUGAAGGCGGGCUGGAACCUCUCGGGGUUACAGCCUUGCUGAAUUAUUCACCCUUGUCUUUUGCGUACUUCUUGUUUCCUUGGUGGGUUCGCCCACCACUAGGACAAACAUAAACCUUUUGUAAUUGCAAUCAGCGUCGGUAACAAAUUAAUAAUUACAACUUUCAACAACGGAUCUCUUGGUUCUGGCAUCGAUGAAGAACGCAGCGAAAUGCGAUAAGUAGUGUGAAUUGCAGAAUUCAGUGAAUCAUCGAAUCUUUGAACGCACAUUGCGCCCUUUGGUAUUCCAAAGGGCAUGCCUGUUCGAGCGUCAUUUGUACCCUCAAGCUUUGCUUGGUGUUGGGCGUCUUGUCUCUAGCUUUGCUGGAGACUCGCCUUAAAGUAAUUGGCAGCCGGCCUACUGGUUUCGGAGCGCAGCACAAGUCGCACUCUCUAUCAGCAAAGGUCUAGCAUCCAUUAAGCCUUUUUUCAACUUUGACCUCGGAUCAGGUAGA
rnacentral:rRNA from 1 species